GAUGAUGAUAUUUCCUAAAGAGUUGAACGGUCGAUUUUCUUAAAUCACCAUCGUCAACUCUUCCUGCACAAUCGGUGGAACUCGAUUAGGGUUCCAGAAUAUCAUUUGCGUCUCUGUGAGGAUAAGAAAAUUUGGGUUUUUGAGAAAAUAAAAAUUAGGGCUUUUGAGGACAGGAAGGAAGAGAAGUGGGAACGAAUGAUAUUUCAGGAUAAAAUCAAGAAGGAUGAAGAAAAAGGUGGUGAUAAUAAGUUUAGAGGCAUUCAUGAGGGCAAGGUUACGGAAGAAGACAUUGAAGGUGUCCAUGGCUCAACUUCUUCCAAGGACACUGUAUUUGACAACCAAGGGCCAUGAUGUGUUUUUUGUGAUGUUAUGGGUGAUCAUUUUUGUUCGAAUUCUCAUCUACAUUCCACAUGAUUGACCAUUAGUCAGAGGUCUUUCCUACAACUACAGAUUCACGCUACUUCUGUGACCUUGGAUUACCAGCUAUUGGAUUCUCACCUAUGGCAAACACCCAUCUUCUAUUCCAUGACCAUAAUGAGCUUGAUCCUCAUUGGUUGGAUUUUUGUUGCUGGCACAUUUAUACUUUGUGGUAUAUUUCUCUUUCUUCACAAGUAAGUCCCUUCUAUCUUGUAGAAUUUAUAUUGAAGUUUUUAGUUUUCACCUUUGCGGUUACUCUGUUAACUUGUCUAUUAUGAGUCACUGAUGAAGUCCAUUUUCUGCUAUAAUCACUUGUGUUGCUCAUGUAUAACAAAAACCUAUUUUAUUGCAUAUUUGCACUAGUGUGUUUGAAGAUACAUGUUAUUUUUCUAAUUAUAUAUUCUUAUAACUAAUAUUAUCUGGACAUUUAUAGUUAUUGUAAUUAAUUUAUUAAUUUGAUUAAUUAUAGAUGAAAUGUUAUUAUAUUAUUUGUUAGCUCUAAAAACAUAAAUAAUGUGAAGAUAUGCUUGAUUGGUAAUUAAUUUGCUUGUUGAAUCUAGAACACUCUAAGUGGAACCAGACUCCACACCCACAUUCAAUUUUUUUGUCUCUUCCUAAAAAUAACUUUUAUGCAAAAAUUUCUUUUUUAUAUAGCUUUGGAUACAUUAGAACCAGCCUCCGUUGAUUUUCUUAAUCUCUGUUUCUCGGUUCAAUCAACCCUUCCACUAUCAGAGCAUAGUCUUUCGAGCUAAGACAAAUAGGAAUCGCAUCUUGCUUUGCGGUAUUUUUCCUAUUAGAUUUUUUUUAUUUGAAAAUAAAUUUGGGAUUUGAAAAUACAUUUUAGAAUUAGAAAAAAAUGCAAAACA